UUUGUUAUGUAUCGUAUCACCUUGUCUCUACUCUCAUCAGAAUCCAACCAUUGACUUGAUUUUUUUUCUGUGUAUUGUUUUGUUUUUGCAGAUUGAACCCUAGAUGCCGACGAGCUAGCUCUCUGGUGCUCAUCCUCCUCCUCCUGAAGUACGACAGAGCUCUCUGGUCUGGUUUAUAGUGCAGCCGAGAAAGUGGAUUUGGAUCUUCCAAUUAUUACACGCUUUUGGAUCCUCUGAUUGGAGAGAACCCCUUCAAUGUUAAAAGUUGCUCAAGUGGAUGAAACAUGAACUCUCAGCCAUUUAUAUUGGUGGACAGCUUCUCCCACGGCCCCCAUGCAUUUGGUCUCCAUAACCCUUUCAAAUCUUCACUGGUGCCUCUUGUAUGGAAAUAUCUCGACAAAGGCAGCUCAUAUGCUCGCCUUACCUAAGGUAACAUCUAAUUUCCCGGAAUGAAUCCUUGAAGUCGAAGGCUGUUGGAGUUGGGUGAAAUGGAAGACUGUUGGCAAUGGAAGAUACACAAGGAGCCAAGUGAAGAGCCGAGAUGUUAGUUUAGUUGACUGGUGGUGGACUGGAGGCAGCUGUUUGCAGAACAAACUCAAAAAGGUCAAGGCCUACAAAGGAUUCUCUUGGCGGUUUUACUAAUAAAUAAGUCUCCCAGCUGUUAGAAGGUUUCUUCAGUCUGUUAGUGACCUAGCCGUUGGGAUGGGAGUCAUUCGUGGGGUCAGUUGGUGAAGGUUGGUGAAUACUCAACAGCUUCCGGCUGGGAUAUUAUGGAAUUACUCCUAAAGAGCUUGUCAUAAUGUUGUGUCAAAGGAUGGAUCACAACAAGCAGCAAUAUGGAGGGCCUCAAGGAUUGUCAAGUUUCCUCAGGAGGACUACCUAGAGAAAGGUAUCACUAUACAUGAUGAUUGAUGAUGACUUGCUACAGCACAAGACCAUUAUAUUGUUUCUGGUUGAUUUUUUUAGAUGUGCACAUGAUCCAUGUAGACCAGGAGUCAAAGAUUCAGUUCAUCUGUGUCAAAAUGCUGGUGUCAAGGUACUUCAGAACACGGUCGCUACGCUAGGGUUUGAAGAAUUGAUGAAGAAGAUUCAGAAACAACAAUUGAGCCAUCCCAUACCUUUUGCUACCCUAGAUGCCGACGAAGAGCGCUCUCUGGUGCUCAUCGUGCUCCUGAAGUACGACAGAGCUCUCUGGUCUGGUGUGUGUCUUUACUUGUCAGACUUAUUGAAGAUUGUAAUUUGGUUUAUAGUGCAGCCGGGAAAGUGGAUUUGGAUCUUUCAAUCAUAACAAGCUUAUGGAUCCUCUGAUUGGAGAGAACCCCUUCAAUGUUAAAGUUGCUCAAGUUGAUGAAACAUGAACUCUCAGCCAUUUAUAUUGGUGGAAAGCUUCUUCUCCCACGGCCCCCAUGCAUUUGGUACCUCUUGUAUGGAGAUAUAUCUCGUCAAAGGCAGCUCAUAUGCUCGUCUUACCUAAGGUAAACAUUGUGAAUGGAGCAAAUGAUGCGAAUGCUCCAUUAUUGUGGGUUGCCCGCAGAAGAAGAUGUUGACUCUAUAAGUUCUGAUGGGAAGACAAUGAACUAAGAUAUUAUUUGAGGUAUUUGGUCAGGAAUUCAAAAGUCUACUUUCUCCACAGAUGUUACGCACUGUAUAAGGGGUUUUGGCGAGCACUCAGAGCAGGCCGACAAAGGCCCAACAAUAACAACUUCAGCCCAUCAAACAAGACAUGCCUAGGUAGGUGCAUUUUGGCCAUGGAAGAAACACAAGGAGCCAAGUGAAGAAGAUCCCAAAUGUUUGUUCACUUGACUGGAUGAAGGAUGCUGCUUGCAGAGAGCCAAACUCAAUGGCCAGGAUUUGUACAUGAUGAGCUAGUGAAAUUGCUGGGUGGAGGAGAAGUAUUUGGUACUCUCUGAUCUAAAGAGGAAGCAAAGACAACGAGUCCCUGGAAAUUACCUCUUCGGAUUUGAAUAGCUCAGCUUCCGUAGAGCAGCAUCAAUGGCGUUGCCCCUCCUCAUCUCCCUUUUUCUGUAUAGCAAUCAGAGGAGAGAGAGAGAGAGAGAGAGAGAAGUAUUUGGUUUUCUCGGAUCUAAAGACAACGAGUCCCUGGAAAUUACCUCUUCGGCUACAAUCAGAUUUGUAGCGAGGCGAGAGAUAUGGAGCUGGUUGAAAUGGAAAAUUGUUGGCCAUGGAAGGUACACUACACAAGGAGCCAAGUGGAGCCGAGAUGUUUGUUCAGUUGACUGGUGGACUUGAGGAGGCCCAGGUUCUGUGUUUGCAGAAAACAAACUCAAAAAGGCCAAGAUUGUACUUGAUGAGCUACUGAAAUUGGUGGGUGGUGGAUGAGAAGGUUGGUGAAUACUCAACAGCUUCCGGCUGGGAUAUUAUGGAAUUACUCCUAAACAGCUUGUCAUAAUGUUGUGUCAAAGGAUGGAUCACAACAAGCAGUGGAGGGCCUCAAGGAUUGUCAAAUUUCCUCAGGAGGAAUACCUAAAGAAAGGUACCACUGGACAUGAUAAUGACUUGCUACAGCGCAAGACCAUUUUUGAUUCUGAGGUUUCGGAUGCUUGGCAUGAUCUCACUUAGAUGGUUGCUCCAGUAGCGUCUUCAGCACUUGGGAUUAAAAAGCAUAGGGGAUCAAAGAAUGUUGGUAUGAUGGAGGAAGCAUCGCAUUUCCAAUGAUUCUUGUCACAGCUGUCAGUGACUACAAACAGCCUCUCCAUUAUCAAAACUUGAGAGAUGAAAAGAGAAACAUACAUCUAGAAGUGACAAGAGGUGGAAGGCGAGUGGAUAUUUCAAUCUAUGACAUUGUGGUGGGUGAUGUCAUACCUGUCAACAUUGGAAAUCAGGUUCUUGCGGUUGGAGUGCUAACAUCCGGCCACUCUCUUGCCCUUGAUGAGUCUAGCAUGACUGGAGAGAGCAAAACCGUGAGUGUUUAUCUUGUUUCCUAAAAAUUGUUGACUUUCUCGUCUCGCUAAAUGGUGAUUCAAGAGGUGGUGCUGCUGCUUUGAGUGUCAAGGAGGUAUUGGGGAAACCGAUUAACUGGCGGGAUGUGGAGAGUGAAUGAGGAUCUUGAACCCUUUUAUCCUGAUCGAAUGACUGGACGAAUUCUAGGAAUGGCAACAGAAGUUGUAAGUUCCGAAUGGGGAGAUGUGCUUUUGUAGAGAAGGCAACAGAAGCUUCUAUUCUAUGAUCAUAUGCAGCUGAUGAAGCCACGGUUGGAGUCCAUCCGGGAGGAAAUGCAAAACAAGGGCAUGGACUCUGUUACGAUGGCAGAAGGUCAAAAAGAGAUGAAGAAUUUGUUUAAAGAAUAUGGUGUCACUCUAUUCACUCCAAUGAAAGGGAUGCUCAUUCAGAGACCUUUGUUCAUCUGCUUUUUUUCUUGCUAGAAGGUACCUUCAUUCCAAACAGGAGGGGCAUUGUGGUUUACCAAUCUAAGUACUCCCGACAGGCGCGACAGCUUAUACAUUCGCAGAAGCAGACACUGCCACCUUCACCAGUAAACCCGAGGGCAACAUCGUUGAGUCCUGUUAGUAAGAGGCUGAAGGCUCUGGAGAGCCAAGUGAAGGGAAGGAAGAAGAACAACAGCAAGAAGAGGUGAUCCAGAAUGGUGCAUAUACUAUUUUUGCUAGACGGCCAGGAAAAAUUAAUAUAGCUUUGGAGUCAAAAAGUGAACUCGUUUCUAAAACAUACACAGAUUUUGCUCAUUAUUGAUGGAAACUACUCUGAGAGGUAAAAAAAAGCUGGAGGUGCCAGCUAGUGAAAUCAUAUGUUUUCCUUCACUCUCAUUGUCACGCUGCUGCUUGGAUUGAACAUCUCCUAUAACAUGAACUUCCCACACUAUAUAAGUGGGGUUAUAUUUUUUCUCUUGACAUUAGCUCUUUUUGUCUUCCAAUUAAUGUGUUUGUGUCAUGCUGGUGUCUUUAGAAUGAACGAACCAUAUUAUAAUUGUGAUAGCCUGAUAGCCUA